GUCGAGCGACGGACGAGAAGCUUGCUUCUCUGAUGUUAGCGGCGGACGGGUGAGUAACACGUGGAUAACCUACCUAUAAGACUGGGAUAACUUCGGGAAACCGGAGCUAAUACCGGAUAAUAUUUUGAACCGCAUGGUUCAAAAGUGAAAGACGGUCUUGCUGUCACUUAUAGAUGGAUCCGCGCUGCAUUAGCUAGUUGGUAAGGUAACGGCUUACCAAGGCAACGAUGCAUAGCCGACCUGAGAGGGUGAUCGGCCACACUGGAACUGAGACACGAAACCCCGGUCCCAGACUCCUUACGGGGAGGCAGCCAGUUAGGGAAUUUUUCCGCCAAUGGCGGAAAACCCUGACCGAAGCAACCCCCGCCGUGGAGUGAUGAAGGUUUUUCGGAUUCGUAAAACUUCUGUUAUUUAGGGAAGAACAUAAUGUGUAAGUAACUGUGCACAUCUUUGACGGUACCUAAUCAGAAAAGCCACGGCUAAAUUACGUGCCAGCAGCCGCGGGUAAUACGUAGGUGGCAAGCGUUAUCCGGAAUUAUUGGGCGUAAAGCGCGCGUAGGCGGUUUUUUAAGUCUGAUGUGAAAGCCCACGGCUCAACCGUGGAGGGUCAUUGGAAACUGGAAAACUUGAGUGCAGAAGAGGAAAGUGGAAUUCCAUGUGUAGCGGUGAAAUGCGCAGAGAUAUGGAGGAACACCAGUGGCGAAGGCGACUUUCUGGUCUGUAACUGACGCUGAUGUGCGAAAGCGUGGGGAUCAAACAGGAUUAGAUACCCUGGUAGUCCACGCCGUAAACGAUGAGUGCUAAGUGUUAGGGGGUUUCCGCCCCUUAGUGCUGCAGCUAACGCAUUAAGCACUCCGCCUGGGGAGUACGACCGCAAGGUUGAAACUCAAAGGAAUUGACGGGGACCCGCACAAGCGGUGGAGCAUGUGGUUUAAUUCGAAGCAACGCGAAGAACCUUACCAAAUCUUGACAUCCUUUGACAACUCUAGAGAUAGAGCUUUCCCCUUCGGGGGACAAAGUGACAGGUGGUGCAUGGUUGUCGUCAGCUCGUGUCGUGAGAUGUUGGGUUAAGUCCCGCAACGAGCGCAACCCUUAAGCUUAGUUGCCAUCAUUAAGUUGGGCACUCUAAGUUGACUGCCGGUGACAAACCGGAGGAAGGUGGGGAUGACGUCAAAUCAUCAUGCCCCUUAUGAUUUGGGCUACACACGUGCUACAAUGGACAAUACAAAGGGCAGCGAAACCGCGAGGUCAAGCAAAUCCCAUAAAGUUGUUCUCAGUUCGGAUUGUAGUCUGCAACUCGACUACAUGAAGCUGGAAUCGCUAGUAAUCGUAGAUCAGCAUGCUACGGUGAAUACGUUCCCGGGUCUUGUACACACCGCCCGUCACACCACGAGAGUUUGUAACACCCGAAGCCGGUGGAGUAACCUUUUAGGAGCUAGCCGUCGAAGGUGGGACAAAA
rnacentral:rRNA from 1 species